rnacentral:rRNA from 1 species
UGGGUUUAAAACGUCGUGAGACAGUUUGGUCCCUAUCUGCCGUGGGCGCUGGAAAUUUGAGGGGGCCUGCUCCUAGUACGAGAGGACCGGAGUGGACGUAUCUCUGGUGGACCGGUUGUCACGCCAGUGGCAUAGCCGGGUAGCUAAAUACGGAAGAGAUAAACGCUGAAAGCAUCUAAGCGUGAAACUCGCCUCAAGAUGAGAUAUCCCGGGGAUUCGAUCCCCCUGAAGGGUCGUCCUAGACCAGGACGUUGAUAGGCUGGGUGUGGAAGCGCAGCAAUGCGUUAAGCUGACCAGUACUAAUUGCCCGUGCGGCUUGACCCUAUAACUUUG